rnacentral:rRNA from 1 species
UUGUUGUUUGUUGUUUGUUGUUGGUUGUUUGUUGUUUGUUGUUUGGUGGUUGUGUUCUUGUUGUUGUUGUUGUUGCUGUUGCUGUUGUCGUUGCUGUUGCUGUGGCUGUUGCUGUUGCUGUUGCUGUUGCUGUUGCUGUUGCUGUUGCUGUUCCUGCUGCUGCUGCUGUUGUUGUUGGUGUUGGAGAGCGCCGUGUAGCUGGUGAAGCGGCAGAGGAAUCUAGCCGUGGAAGCUACACGAGUGAGAAUGUAGACAUGAGUAGCGAAAGACGGGUGAGAAACCCGUCCGCCGAAAGACCAAGGGUUCCUGGGCCAGGCUAAUCCGCCCAGGGUAAGUCGGGACCUAAGACGAGGCCGUCAGGCGUAGUCGAUGGACAACGGGUUGAUAUUCCCGUACCCGCGUAAGUUCGUCCCUGACGAACCUCCUAAUGCUAAGUUUUCGAAGCGUUAUUGGCGUAAGUCGAUGGCGUGGAGGGAACGACCCGGUGGAGUAGUAGUCAAGCAAUGGUGUGACACAGGAAGGUAGUCCAACCCGGGUGAUGGUUGUCCCGGGGUAAGAGUGUAGGGAGUUAUGCAGGCAAAUCCGCAUAACGUUUAACUGAGACUUGAUGCCGAGCCGAAUGGCGAAGUGGAUGAUCCUAUGCUGUCAAGAAAAGCAUCUAGCGAGAACUUAAGUGGCCCGUACCCGAAACCGACACAGGUGGUCAGGUAGAGAAUACCAAGGCGAUCGAGAGAAUCGUGGAUAAGGAACUCGGCAAAAUAGCCCCGUAACUUCGGGAGAAGGGGGGCCAAUUUACGUGUAGGAGUUUUCCUCCGAAGCGUGAGUCGGCCGCAGAGACUAGGCUCAAGCGACUGUUUACCAAAAACACAGGUCCGUGCGAAGUUGCAAAACGAUGUAUACGGACUGACGCCUGCCCGGUGCUGGAAGGUUAAGGGGACUGGUUAGCCGCAAGGCGAAGCUGAGAACUUAAGCCCCAGUAAACGGCGGUGGUAACUAUAACCAUCCUAAGGUAGCGAAAUUCCUUGUCGGGUAAGUUCCGACCUGCACGAAUGGCGUAACGACUUGAGCGCUGUCUCAUCCGCGAACUCGGCGAAAUUGCAGUACGAGUAAAGAUGCUCGUUUAGCGCAGAAAGACGGAAAGACCCCGGGACCUUUACUAUACCUUGACAUUGGUACUCGGAACGGUUUGUGUAGCAUAGGUGGGAGCCAUUGAAGCUGGGACGCCAGUCCUGGUGGAGGCAACGUUGAAAUACCACUCUGAUCGUUUUGAGUUUCUAACCUCGGUCCGUGAUCCGGAUCAGGGACAGUGUCUGGCGGGUAGUUUGACUGGGGCGGUCGCCUCCCAAAAAGUAACGGAGGCGCUCAAAGGUUCCCUCAGCCUGGUUGGCAAUCAGGUGUCGAGUGUAAGUGCACAAGGGAGCUUAACUGUGAGACAGACAUGUCAAGCAGGUGCGAAAGCAGGAACUAGUGAUCCGGCGGUGGCUUGUGGAAGCGCCGUCGCUCAACGGAUAAAAGGUACCCCGGGGAUAACAGGCUGAUCUUGCCCAAGAGUCCAUAUCGACGGCAAGGUUUGGCACCUCGAUGUCGGCUCGUCUCAUCCUGGGGCUGAAGUAGGUCCCAAGGGUUGGGCUGUUCGCCCAUUAAAGAGGCACGCGAGCUGGGUUUAAAACGUCGUGAGACAGUUUGGUCCCUAUCUUCCGUAGGCGCAGUAUCGUGACUUGGGAAA